rnacentral:lncRNA from 1 species
AAUACUUAAAAGUUACUGUAUCUUUAAUUUACUUAGAAAGAAAUUGGAACCCAGAGAUUUGAAGACUCCUGGCGCUUUAAAUAACUAUUUUGUGACAACCGGGAUCUAGAACUCUAUAACCUUGACUUCCAGUCCCAUGUUGAGUCCCUAGAGCAUGCUACAGCCCCACAUCUUAAGUCAUCUUCUGGGUAAAUUGAAAGUUGGAGAGGAUAAUGGGACAUUUUAAUUUUUAUGUUGGCAAUGUGACAGACUGUGGCUAAUCGAUGACCCUGCAUCCCUGAGUGAGUACUCAGAGCAGACGCCUCUUCUGUCCUUGAAGACACAAGGUGAAAGCUCAGCUUCCAAGACAUUGAAAAAGAAAGAAAAAGAAAAAAAGAUUGAUUUGGUGCCAUGUAUGUGUUUUUGGAAAAAUGAAGAUUCAUAUCUCAAGGAGGCACAGUGAGUAUUUAAGGAGUAUGCUAGAGUGGUUUUUUUAAACAUUCAUUUCAGAAAGAAAUUAUUUUAAUUUGGGGAACAGCAUUAACACAGAAUUUUCUUUUUCUUGCUUUUUUUUCUUUUUUUUUGAGAAAGAUUAGCCCUGAGUUAACAUCUGCUGCCAAUCCUCCUCUUUUUGCCGAGGAAGACUGGCCCUGAGCUAAGAUCUGUGCCUAUCUUCCUCUACUUUAUAUGUGGGACGCCUACCACAGCAUGGCUUGCCAAGUGGUGGGUAGGGAUCCACACCCAGGAUCCAAACUGGCAAACCCCUAGCCGCCAAAGCGGAACGUGCAAACUUAAA